rnacentral:sRNA from 1 species
GCUGGGCACAGUGGCUCAUGUCUGUAAUCCCAGCACUUUAGGAGGCCAAGGCAGGUGGAUCGCUUGAGCUCAGGAGUUUAAGACCAACCUGGGAAACAUGGUGAAAUGCUGUCUCUACAAAAUAUACAAAACUUAGCUGGGUGUGGUGGUGCGCGCAUGUAGUCCCAGCUACUUGGGGGCUGAGGCAGGAAGAUCACUUGAGCCCAGAAGGUUGAGGCUGCAGUGAGCCAUGUUCGUGCCACUGCACUCCAGCCUGAGCAACAAAGUGAGACCCUGUCUCCU